UUUUUCCCGCCUCGUCCUCCUCCUCUUCGUCUCAGCUGACCUCCAUUUCGGUGUCCUUUGGUGCAUCUCGGUGUCAGUUUCCAGUUGAAAUACGCUGUGUCUCUACUCUCUCUCUCUCUCUCUCUCUCUCUCUCUCUCUCUCUCUCGGUUUUCUGCACGUGUGGUCUCUCUUGGUGUAGAGGCACCGGGCACCAUCAUUUUGCACUUUUUCUGUAGAUUUUUUGGCUCAAAAAUGGCACUGAAAAUCAUGAAGAAUUGAGGAAAAGCUCAAAGUAAAAUGAGAAUUUUUAGCCUUUAAAUGGGCGGAGCUUAUGUAAGCGCCACCCACUUCUGGGCUCUCGUUAUUUCUCGGCAAUGUUCAUGAUCUCAACCAGGCGGCAUAUUCGGCAAACCCACAUGUUUGAAAUUUGCCGUGCUCGGCAAACUCGGUAAAUUUGCCAAUUUAAGAAUAGCGGAGGCUGCAAAAUGCAUCAUAGCUCAUGUAGUGUCCUCAUUUCGGUUUGAUCUACGUAGAUCUACAAAAAAUGCAGGAGAAGAGGCGCAGAGUUCUCAACUGAUUUCGCAUGAUUUCGCAAAAAGAUAAAUUCAAUGCCCCUCUUUUUAUUCGUAAAUUGUCAAAAUUCGAAAUGCGAUUUAAAAUUUCCGGGAAUUUUAGGGCAUAUUCUUAUUAGAAAUAACUAUUACGGGAACAAAAAAUUCCUAGAAUGCGUAUUACACAACAUAUUUGACGCGCAAGAUAUCUCGAUGCGAAAACUACAGUAAUUCUUUGGAAGAUUACAGUAAUGCUUGUGUCGAUUUACCGGGCUCUCGAUUUUGAAAUAAAUUAAAAAGAGCCCGUAAAUUGACAUAAGCACUACAGUAGUAUUUUAAAGAGUUACUGUAGUUUUCGCGCUACGAUAUAUUUUGCGCGUCAAAUAUAUUGUGCAAUACGCAUUCUAAAAAUUUAUGGGGCUAUUCAAGUAGUGCUGGAUAAUUUGAAAUUGCUGAAAAAUUAAUGUAUUAAAAUACAUAAAACAUGUAUUUUAAUACAUUUUGCAACUUUACCACGUGGUGCCAGAGUGUCUCAUUUCGGCUUGAUCUGCUAUAGAAGUUGGACGCACUGUAUUAAACUUGGUGAACUAAAUUUGCACUUCCAGUUGGCUGUGUUCAUUUUAAGACAUUGAAGAUCAUUGUCUUUUUCUCCUUCGUCAUCAUCAUCAUUCGAUUCAGAAUACCCAUCAACUUAUUUCGUCGUCGUUGUUUUCGUAUUCUCCAUUCCCCCUGCGUGUGUCCCUGCGUCUCUCCACUACUAUUCCCUGAAUGUCUGCGUACUCUUUACCAGGUGUACUCUCUCGUCCCUCUUCCUCGUGUGUGUGCGCUCUUCGAAAAUCGGCGAGUUUUUAGUGAUGUGUGCUGCAUUGCAUAAUAAUCGUUUUUCUCAUUUUUUGGGGCUUUCCAAAAAAUUUAAUUUACAUUUUUAGUUUGUUUUGCGCCAAAAUUAAUGCAAAAAGAGUUUAAUUCUCUGAUUUAGGUUUUCCUGGUGAUUUGAUACGGAAUAUUGAUUAAUUUCGCGUGGGUUUGUUGAAAUUUAGUUUUUAAUUUGAUUUUGAAGGCAAAUCAAAUUGCCGGUUUGCCAAUUUGCCGGAUAUCAUUUUGCCGGAAAUUUUAGAGGGAUUUUUGGGCAAUUGCCGGUCGGCAAAUUUUUCUGUCCGCAAAUUCGGCAAAUCUGCAAAAUAGAUUUGCCGGAAAAUUUCAAAAUGUUUAUUUUCGGCGAAUUGCCGGUUUGCCGAAAAUUUCAGUUCCGGCAAUUUUUCAAUUUGCCGGAAAUUUUCAAUUCCGACAGUUUUCCGAUUUGCCGGAAAUUUUCAAUUCCGGCAGUUUGCCGAUUUGCCGGAAAUUUUCAGUUCCGGCAAAUUGGUGACAAAUUUUCAAUUCCGGCAAUUUUCCGAUUUGUCGGAAAUUUACAGUUCAACCAAAUUGCCGGAUUGCCGAUUUGUCGGAAAUUUUAAAUGCCGGUAAUUUUC
ensembl:lincRNA linc-143 ncRNA